rnacentral:lncRNA from 1 species
CCAACACAAAAAUAGAGGGCAGAAAGAGGUGGAGUUUCCUCAUGAAGUCAGCCAUCAGCAUGCUGUGUCCAUUAUGAACCCUCAUGUUCAAUAAAGUUGAGAAUGCUAGGGUACUAUAGAAAACAGAGUUUUAUUGAAGAUCAAAGUGAAACAAGCUGCUUUGAUUUUAUGUUCUGUCUUUUCAUUUCCUGUAGGUGGUGAGCCCCUGAAUUGUACUAAUUAACAAAGCCUCUGAUUAGAGGCAAUUGGUUUCCUUCCUGCUACUGAAAAUGUCAAAAAGCAAGGCUGCCUCUGGAUGGACCUAAUUUGUGAUGAUUCCAGUUGGUUCUAAAGUGGUCAAGCUGACAUGGUGUUUUUUAAAACUAUGGGCCUCCUUCUCAUCAAUUCACUGUCCACUAUUAGAUAAAAAGCAUGCCAACACAUGAUAAUUUUCAAGAUAGUCCCUCUCUUCCUUGGGUUCCCUGGGCUGGAAAGGUUUAUGAGAAAUGAGAUCUUGCCACCCAAAUUACUGAGGACUACAGAAAUCACUAAUGAAGGAGAAGGACUUGAGUCUAGAAAUUUCUUAGUCCAAAGCCUAUUGUGGGCAACAAGGAAAAAACCUAUUUAAGAAAGGAGAAUAAGUUUGUUCCUAAGGUAAGAAAACUAAUACGCCUGGUUAUUGAGAGCCAA